AUACCCAAGCUUCACUAGGGCUUAUUCCCAUAAUGAUCCUGUGUUGAUUAUCAUUACGCCCAAACACUACCAUAAUCUAUUGGGAUAUACCAAAUUUUCCUAUUGUUCAGAGAGCAUUGUGCCAUUUUAGGGGUGGGCAAAAUGUUAUCUGAAAGAACUACAAACCUUUAGAUAACAUUCCUUUCAUUGGACAAUGCCUGUGUGACAUUUUAGGCAUCGUGUCUCUGUUGUAAAACCACAUUUCCACAUUUCCAGGCUUCUGGCUCCAUUUCUCUGUAACAUAAGUGUCACAGGUAUUUUUUCCCCCCACAGCUACAGCUGCUUCAUAGAUAUGGCUAUUCCUGGACCAAGACAACCUGUUCACAAUGACCCAUUCUCUUCGCUUGAGUAUUUUAACACAUUAAUAGUUGGGAUGCCCUUGAAAAUGGUCCAGACUCUACAAAAAAAUAAUUGUGGCCACCAUGAUGUUGAGCAACAUAGCCUAUCACAACCGCAUAUCAUUGGUAUUACAAGAUCUGCACUGGUUGUCUGAAUGCUACCAGGGCCAACUGAAGGUGUUGCUGCUAAUAUAUAAAACCCAGAAUGACUUGGGACUCUGAUAUCUGAAGAAGCACCUCUCCCUUUAUCAACCUGACUGGGCCCUGAGGUCUGCAAGAAAGGCCUUUCUGAAGGUCCCACCAGUUAGACAUUGGGUGAUGACUCAGGGUCUUUUAUGUGGUUGCAUCUUGGUUACUGAACUCCAUUCGGCACCAACAAUGCAUGGAGGGGUACACCUGACAAUCUAUCUGUUCAUUAAGUAUUUUGGGUGAUCCGAGUAGCACAUUUGUAAGGUAGCCUGCCUUUCUGCUGUUGGUUUGACGUGGGUUAUCAUUUUAAUUUGUUAAAUUGCAUUUUGAUGAUAAAGUUCAAUGUUUGUAAACUGUUCUAGAGUUGUUUAUGAUUAGGAAUGGUAUAUAAAUCAAUUGAAUAAAUAUUAUGUUGAUGUCCUCCCUCCAAGCAGGGUGCCAGCUGAGUGAGAAAGAGCUACAGAACUGAGACCAUCAACUUUAAUGUUUCAUUCAUUCAUUCUCUCUCUCUCUCUCUCUCUCUCUCUCUCACACACACACACACACACACACACAUUGUGGGAUCACACCUUACAGAAUUGGUUCCCACUUGGCUAUAAAGGCACAUCAAAAGGGCUAUAAUCUGAAUGAUAUGGUUGAAAAGGUGGCAUAAUGUGAAUUGGUAUGUAGAGAAUCCAUUCUACCUAGGGACUUGGGGUUGGAGAGCAUGAAGUCCAGGUCAAAUAAAAUCUAGUCCUGUAAUUCUGUGAUCAUGCUCGGUUUUUCUUCUCCUCAAAAUAGACCUAUUAGGCUAGUUGAAGUAAAUCUGAAAGGCAUGGCCUCUACACUUGAUGACAGGAGAUAAAGAUGGAUUUGGGAGUCUAAGAAAAAGUUAGGCCUUGAGGGCGGAAAAUCAUAUUGUGCAGCCUGUAAGAUGCAGCCAUUUUUCAAAAUAGUUUUCCAUACUUCGCUGACAUGAAUUAUGUAUUAAUGUUUCCUGGUUUCAUCACAAGGAGCGUAUGAAUAUUCACAAAUUAUUCUCUUGUGUAACCAUGAAUAUGCAUGGUCGAGCCAAGAAUGGCAAAGUGUAGAACCUGAUCAUGAAUAUUUACAUCCUAUAUAAAGUUAAACCGUGUCACUGGAUGAUAUAGCACCUACUCUGAGAUUCCUCUCUUGGUAGUAGGUGAAGUGCUGCAAUAUGCUAAUGAAAUAACCACCAUUUGGCAUGGAGUUUAGUGAGGAAAUUCCCUCCUUCUUUAUAGUCGCAAACCUUUCCCCACCAGAGAAAAAGGGAUUAUUGAUUUCAUUUUUCAGCUGAAAGCAAAUAACUCUCUUACACAGCCAUUUCUGCCACCACCUUCCAUCCCACCAUUCCAAGCCAAACAGAAAUGUGACUCCAGGAAGGAAGGGGGGAAAGAGGAUGUGUUCAUAUUACUGUUUUAAAAGACAGUGAAGUUAUUUUCCCCUGAUGUGUUUCAAAUCACAUGUGUUUGUGGCUGCACACAUCAUUGUGGUUGGAGGUGUUCCCAAGUUGCCUGCUUUCUGUCCACACCAGUGGGCAGAGAAAAUGUGUAGAUGUCUUCCUUUGCCUUACAUUUUCAAAUAAGAUCAAAUCUGGUUUGGGGGGAGAACACAUGAAAAUGCAGUAUUUCUCAAGAAACUACAUUAUAGUGGGUAAUGUCAUAUGCACAAUGCUUCACAAAGCAACAGUGAGAGAGCACAGGAUGCAGAGCAAAUAGGAAUGUGCAUGCAGCAAGUAAAUUAGUUUUUACAUAGAAUCAUAGAAUUGUAGAGGUGGAAGGGACCAUGAAGGCCAUCUAGUCCAAACCCCUGCAAUGCAGGAAUCUUUUACCCAACAUGGGGCUGGAACCCACAUCCCCAUUAUUAAAAGUCUCAUACUCUACCAACUGAGUAAUCCCAGGCUAUAGCUAGUGGUCUGCAUUUGCCUUUUUUCAUUUCCAAUUUUUAUUCUCACAAAAGCAAUGGCAGGUAAAUUAGGCUGAGAAGUACUGACCUGCCCAAUGUCACUCAAUGAGCUUCGUGGCUGAGUGGGAAUUUGGAGUCCUUCCAACAUGCUACCUGCUACACCACAAAUGUAGUGAACAUUACUGACUUGAUGAGCCACAAGUAGUGCACAAAGUCUGACUGUGGUUGAAUUGUACCUUUCAUUUGCAAUAUUCUAGUCCUCCUUUUGUCAUUACAGUCAUACCUCAGGUUACAGACGCUUCAGGUUGUGUGUUUUUUUGGUUACGGACCGCCAAAACCAGGAAGUACCGGAACAGGUUACUUCCGGGUUUCGGUGGUCGCGCAUGUGCAGAAGCACUAAAUUGCACUUUGUGCAUGUGCAGAAGCACCGAAUCACAACCCACAUGUGCGCAGAUGCCCACACGGAUCAUGUUCGCAACCCGAGCGUCCAGUGUACUGCUUCUUAGGGAAUGACAUGAUUGCAAAGCAUGCACGUCCCUAGCCACAGAAAUUCAAGCAGAUUAUAAGAUCUUUAUUGAAACUAAGACAUAGACAUAAAUUAUAAAAGGAAACCAUAUCAAGGAAUGGGUAAACAGCAACAGAUGGAAACUUUAUUAAAAUAUAAUCUAAGCUGGUCUUGCCUGUGUACAGAUUACCAUCGCCAAAUAUUGCUGCGUGCAAAUGCGUGCCCAGAUCAUUCAGAAACAUAUGGAAUUUUUAGCUGUCACCUGAACAAUGGUACAAAAGGCUAGGGAGAACAUAGAAAUAUAGGGUGAGAUCCAACAGAACGCUAGCUGCAACAGCAAGUAUGGUUAGAAUGUUAGCUGUGCUAGGGGUUGUGCAAUAUCUUGCAUACGCACAAGGCAUUUAUUAGAUGCUUCUGUUAUGCUGUACUAGGAAAAGGGGCCCCACUAGCUCAUGCAUAGAUUGUUGGUUUCCCCCCCGUUCUUUAGCUGUAAAGCAUAUUCAAAAAUAAAUCAUUAAAAAAUAGGCAUAGGCCCAUUCAAAGGCCCACAUAGCUAAUUCUGUGGACUCAAGGGAGUGUUGGACUUGUGUUUCUCUAACAGUAUCCCCCUAUGGCAUACACUUUUGAAGCUGAGAAUGCAACCUUAUACCUCACUUAACUUGAGAAUGUGCCCCAUCUAACUUGAUAGGGACUGCUUUUGAAUAAGCAUGUUAUCAUCUUACACUGUUAGAGAGCUUUCAAAGCUAUUAAAUGCAUGACAUAAUGGUGGGAUGUUCAAAAAAGGAACAAACAAAAUAUGCCACUAAGGAUACCCAAGACUUUGGGUGCAUCUAAAUUAGUUUUUCAGAUCUUGGCUGUAAGGCAUACAAUUUCUGCAGAGAAUAGCUGCAUUUUUUAAAAAAGGAAAAAGUGGGGUGACCAGCGGCUUACAUCCUUCUCUUACUUAUUCAUUAAGCAUAAAAAUCAAACACUCAACUUGCUAUAUAUUUCAUUUAAAAUUCAAAAUCAGUUAGAGCCUUUCUUAGCUGUUACCUGUGCUCAGAUAGAUACUUGAAAGUUUCCAUUUAUCAGCUGGAGAACAGGGACUACAAGGAAUUUUACUGUUGCUUUUCCAUACAGUCAGUCCUUGAAGCAACCUCCAGAUUUUUACUUCUCUGGAACACAAUGUCAGUUCUGUCAGUUCUGUAAUCACAUUGUAAAUACAUUGGUAGGUGGAAGUCAGGUCAUGAAUAGGUGGAAGCAACCAUUUCAUGAAAAUUCUUCCUGCUUACCCACUACUUACCCAAGUGCCACCCAGCUGUUGCCUGGGAAGGGACUUCUCUGUAGUGGCACCUAACCUGGGGAAUGUCUAGCAUAGUGUGUCCCAUCAAGAGAAAUAUUUGAUGCCCUCUUGCAAAUAGGCAAAGGCCUACUUU
rnacentral:lncRNA from 1 species